rnacentral:rRNA from 1 species
AGAGUUUGAUCAUGGCUCAGGACGAACGCUGGCGGCGUGCCUAAUACAUGCAAGUCGAGCGGACCUCUUCGGAGGUUAGCGGCGGACGGGUGAGUAACACGUGGGCAACCUGCCUGUAAGACUGGGAUAACUCCGGGAAACCGGAGCUAAUACCGGAUAGUAUCUUGAACCGCAUGGUUCAAGCUGGAAAGACGGUUUCGGCUGUCACUUACAGAUGGGCCCGCGGCGCAUUAGCUAGUUGGUGAGGUAAUGGCUCACCAAGGCAACGAUGCGUAGCCGACCUGAGAGGGUGAUCGGCCACACUGGGACUGAGACACGGCCCAGACUCCUACGGGAGGCAGCAGUAGGGAAUCUUCCGCAAUGGACGAAAGUCUGACGGAGCAACGCCGCGUGAGUGAUGAAGGUUUUCGGAUCGUAAAACUCUGUUGUUAGGGAAGAACAAGUGCGAGAGUAACUGCUCGCACCUUGACGGUACCUAACCAGAAAGCCACGGCUAACUACGUGCCAGCAGCCGCGGUAAUACGUAGGUGGCAAGCGUUGUCCGGAAUUAUUGGGCGUAAAGCGCGCGCAGGCGGUUUCUUAAGUCUGAUGUGAAAGCCCCCGGCUCAACCGGGGAGGGUCAUUGGAAACUGGGAAACUUGAGUGCAGAAGAGGAGAGUGGAAUUCCACGUGUAGCGGUGAAAUGCGUAGAGAUGUGGAGGAACACCAGUGGCGAAGGCGACUCUCUGGUCUGUAACUGACGCUGAGGCGCGAAAGCGUGGGGAGCGAACAGGAUUAGAUACUCCUGGUAGUCCACGGCCGUAAACGAUGAGUGCUAAGUGUUUAGAGGCAUUCCGCCCUUUUAGUGCUGCAGCUAACGCAAUUAAGCACUCCGCCCUGGGGAGUACGGGUCGCAGACUGAAACUUCAAAGGAAUUGACGGGGGGCCCGCACAGCGGUGGAGCAUGUGAUUUAUUCUAGCACGCGGAGAUCUACAGGUCUUGACAUCCUUGCCACUUCUAGAGAAUAGAAUGUCCUCGGUACUAGGUGACGUUGUGCAUGCCUGUCAUUCCAGUCCGUGUCGUGA